rnacentral:rRNA from 1 species
GACGAACCGUGCGAACGUUAUUCGGAAUCACUGGGCUUAAAGCGCGUGUAGGCGGGCCGGCACGUCCGUCGCUGAAAUCCCCCGGCUCAACCGGGGAACCGGCGCGGAUACGACCGGCCUGGAGGGGGGUAGGGGGGCCUGGAACUUCCGGUGGAGCGGUGAAAUGCGUUGAGAUCGGAAGGAACGCCCGUGGCGAAAGCGAGGCCCUGGACCCCUGCUGACGCUGAGACGCGAAAGCCAGGGGAGCGAACGGG